GUCCUCUAGGCAAGAAAAAAAAAGAAGAUAAGGGAAAGACAAAGGAAGGAAAUGGAAGGAAAGGACAAAGAAGGAAAGUCUACUCUGAAUCUUGACAUGUCAGCUUGAUUCUAGAAGUGCGUUUACCUGGAGGACUUACCCACAACUUUAACCUUGAUGCUUGCAUGUGCCUCUCCAGCUUCGUUUUUCAGAUUGAUGUGGUAAACACCAGAGUCAUCUCUUUCAGCUAUAUCAAUGACCAGAGUGCUGCUAUCAGGUCUUCAACAAACCAGAAGACUCAUUAGGAUCCAUAAUAGCUGCCAGUGUAGAGGAGCCUCAGUUACUUUCACUUUGAUCAUUAUCCCUGGGAGAAGAAGCCAACAGCUCCUGGUGACCACAAUAAGAGAUUUCAUUUUUACCUCUUACGAAGAGCUCAGUGGAACAUUUCUCAUCACCGGCUGUCACAUAAUACUCUGAAUCAUCUGUCAUCUGACAGUUAUUGAUAAACAGGAUUCUCUGGCAUCCUUUGUGUUCAAAGAUGUAUCUGUUUUGAAUAGGAUGAAAAUAAACAGAGUCUGUGAAUGUGA
rnacentral:lncRNA from 1 species